GACGAACGCUGGCGGCGUGCUUAACACAUGCAAGUCGAACGAAGUGGCGGACGGGUGAGUAACGCGUAAUCAACUGGCUCAUCAGAGGGGGACAACAGUUGGAAACGACUGCAAAUACCGCAUACUGAAGGAGGGGUUUGCGUCUGAUUAGCUAGUUGGGGGGGUAACGGCCCACCAAGGCGAUAGUCAGUAGCCGGGCUGGGGGGAUGGACGGCCACAAUGGGAAUUGGGCAAGGGCCAGACUCCUACGGGGAGGAGCAAUGGGGGAACUUCCGGCAUGGGGGGAAAGCUGGACGAGGAACGCCGCGGGGAGGGAAGCGGGCUUCGGGUUGUAAAACUUUGUUAAUUGGGACGCGGUACCUGAAUAGAAAGCCACGGCUAACUACGUGCCAGCAGCCGCGGUAAUAC
rnacentral:rRNA from 1 species